AUGCUUGCGUCCAGAUUAGCACCAGUGAUCCACAAACUAGUGACGCACAACCAGAGCGCCUUCAUCCGAGGUCGAUCCAUCCAGGAUAAUUUCCUCUACGUUCGGAAUGUGAUCAAGGCCGCACACACUGCCAAAUCUCCCAUGGUGUUCCUGAAAUUGGAUAUAGCGAAAGCCUUUGAUUCGGUGUGGUGGGUUUUUCUUCUGGAGGUGAUGGAAGCAAUGGGCUUUGGACAGAGGUGGCGUGAUAUGAUAUCACUGAUGCUCUCAUCGUCCUCUUCACGUGUGCUGCUCAACGGAGUGCCUGGAGUGCCGUUUCAUCAUCGGUGUGGUUUAAGGCAAGGGGAUUCUUUGUCACCAUUGUUGUUCAUUUUGGCAAUGGAGCCGCUGCAGAGAUUGCUUCAGUUGGCAACAGAGAGAAACAUUCUGUCACGGCUACGACCUAGGGUAGCGCGCUUCCGAUCUAGUUUCUACGCCGAUGACGCAGCUUUGUUCAUCAACCCGGUGGCAGAUGACUUUAACGCUGUACAUGCCAUUCUCACCCUAUUUGGGGAUGCCUCUGGAUUAAGAACAAACGUGACCAAAUCAGUGGCCUACCCAAUAGCUUGUGCAAACAUAGAUAUGCAGCCAUUGUUCGUCAUUUUUGGAGGGGAGCCAGGAGCCUUCCCAUGUCAGUACCUAGGACUCCCACUCGGGACCCGGAAGCCAAGGAGGGUUGAGCUGCAGCCAUUGAUUGAUAAGAUUGCUGGAAGACUAUCUAACAGAAGGGGGAGGAUGAUGAACCGUAUGGGAAGGCUGGUGUACAUUAACUCGGUGGUCACAGCCACGGCUACAUAUUACCUAACGGCUCCGGACAAGUGGCUGAUCAAGAAAGUGGACAAACUUAGGAAGAAUUUCCUUUGGGAUGCGGACGAUGGAAACAUUGGGGGAAAAAGCUUGGUUAACUGGAGACAAGUUUGCACACCAAAGCGAUAUGGUGGCCUUGGGGUGAAGAACAUCGAGUGCUUUGGCCGGGCAUUGAGGCUUCGCUGGGAGUGGUUUAGAUGGGGAGAGGAGGACAGGCCGUGGAAGGGCUCGGACACGCCUUGCAAUUCCACGGAUAAGCAACUCUUUGCCAGCUGCACCAGAAUUCAGCUGGGGGAUGGAAACACGGCAUUCUUUUGGACAGACAGAUGGCUUAAUGGCGAGGCAUUCUCUGUCUCUACCCCUGAGCUCUUCAAGUUGGCAAGGUUUAAAAAACUGACGGUCAAACAGGGGUUGCAUAACAACAAAUGGAUGACAGGGCUGCAUAGCAUGAACAGUGAGGAGCAGUUGACAAAAUUCUUUCAGAUAUGGGACAAGGUGCAGGUGGUCACACUGGAGCCGAGGAAGGACAAAGUUGUAUGGAACCUGACGGCAAACGGAGUAUAUUCGUGUACCUCUGCCUACGAGGCACAAUUCUUCACUCGGAUUCAUAAACCAGAGCUAUCACGAGUAUGGAGAGGAAUGGUGGAGGGGAAAGUAAGAUUCUACCUAUGGCUGCUGUUGCAAAACCGGAAUUGGACGGCUGACAGAUUGCAGGCGCGGGGGUGGCCGCACGACGCGCUUUGCAGCCUAUGUGAUCAGGAGUUGGAAACAACGAAUCAUCUCUCCUUGCACUGCUCCUUUGCCAAGGUGAUCUGGGACUUGUUCCGGAGAUCAACAGAUGAUCUAUGCAGUGCGGCUGCCACGGCGACGUCCAUAUCUGAAUGGUGGGAGCACACCGGACGUGGCAGAGGCUCGAAGGACCGAAACAAAGAGGAAAUGACGCUGGCAGCUUACAUAGUGUGGAACUUAUGGAAGGAGAGGAACAGAAGGGUUUUCGAGCACAAAGAAAUGGGUCCGCUAGAGUUGGCCGCGUCGAUUACUGAUGAGGUAAACAUGGUCAAGUUAGCCAUGAGUAGGGGACAGCACUCAGAGAGACGCUAG
rnacentral:rRNA from 1 species